rnacentral:misc_RNA from 1 species
GCAAACUUGGUCAUUUAGAGGAAGUAAAAGUCGUAACAAGGUCUCCGUUGGUGAACCAGCGGAGGGAUCAUUACAGAGAGUGAAAACUCCCUAAACCCGUGUCUAUCUACCUGUUUGUUGCUUCGGCAGGCGGUCCCAGGGCGGGACCUGUGGCCUCUGCGAGGCGCCUGCCGGAGGACCAAAAACUCUUGAUGUUACAGUUUGUCUGAGUCUUGAAGAAUAAAUCAAAACUUUCAACAACGGAUCUCUUGGUUCUGGCAUCGAUGAAGAACGCAGC